UUCUGCCCUAUGAUUAUUUAAAUGGCUGCAGUAUUUUGACUGUGCAAAGGUAGCAUAAUAAUUAGUCAUUUAAUUGUUGACUUGUAUGAAUGAAUGAAUGAGGUAUAAUUUUUAUUAAUUUAAUUAUUAAAAUUUUAUUUUUAGGUAAAAAAGCUUAAUUAAUUUUUAGGGACGAAAAGACCCUAAAGAACUUUACUAAUUUUUAAUUUAUUUUAUUUAGUUUUUUAUUUUAUUAAAUUUUAUGAAUUUUUUUGGUUGGGGUGACAGUUAAAUUUAACUUUAAUUAUUUUUUUCAUUUUUUAUGUUAUUAUUGAUCCUGGAAUCUAGAUUAUAAGUUUUAGUUACCUUAGGGAUAACAGCGUAAUUUUAGUGGAAAGUUCAUAUUUAUACUAAAGUUUGCGACCUCGAUGUUGAAUUAAGAUUAUUGAGGGGGGUAG
rnacentral:rRNA from 1 species